rnacentral:rRNA from 1 species
UAAUACGGAGGGUGCAAGCGUUGUUCGGAAUCACUGGGCGUAAAGGGCGCGCAGGCGGUUUGGUAAGUCAGAUGUGAAAGCCCACGGCUCAACCGUGGAAGUGCAUUUGAAACUGUCAGACUUGAGUACCAGAGGGGAAAGUGGAAUUCCCGGUGUAGAGGUGAAAUUCGUAGAUAUCGGGAGGAAUACCGGUGGCGAAGGCGACUUUCUGGCUGGAUACUGACGCUGAGGCGCGAAAGCGUGGGGAGCAAACAGGAUUAGAUACCCUGGUAGUCCACGCCGUAAACGAUGUCAACUAGGUGUAGGGGGUGUUGAUCCCCUCUGUGCCGCAGCUAACGCAUUAAGUUGACCGCCUGGGGAGUACGGUCGCAAGAUUA